rnacentral:rRNA from 1 species
GAUGAACGCUAGCGGCAAGCUUAAUACAUGCAAGUCGAGGGGCAGCAUGACUGUAGCAAUACAGUUGAUGGCGACCGGCAAACGGGUGCGGAACACGUACAGAACCUUCCUUCGAGCGGGGAAUAGCCCAGAGAAAUUUGGAUUAAUACCCCAUAGUAUAUCAGAGUGGCAUCACUUUGAUAUUAAAGAUUUAUCACUUGAAGAUGGCUGUGCGGCUGAUUAGAUAGUUGGUGAGGUAACGGCUCACCAAGUCUGCGAUCAGUAACUGGUGUGAGAGCACGACCAGUCACACGGGCACUGAGACACGGGCCCGACUCCUACGGGAGGCAGCAGUAAGGAAUAUUGGUCAAUGGACGAAAGUCUGAACCAGCUAUGCCGCGUGGAGGAUGAAGGCCCUCUGGGUUGUAAACUUCUUUUAUAUGGGACGAAAAAGGGCCUUUCUAGGUCAACUGACGGUACCAUGUGAAUAAGCACCGGCUAACUCCGUGCCAGCCGCCGCCGUAACAC